rnacentral:rRNA from 1 species
AGUGAACCCUAAAUGCACCCGAUCUUGUCUGAUCUCGGAAGCUAAGCAGGGUUGGACCUGGUUAGUACUUGGAUGAGCGAAAGUAAACCCUGAACUC